rnacentral:rRNA from 1 species
GUGUCAGCAGCCGCGGUAAUACAGAGGGUGCAAGCGUUGUCCGGAAUGAUUGGGCGUAAAGCAUUUGUAGGUGGUUUCUAAAGUCAACUGUUAAAUCCCAGAGCUCACCUGUGGACAAGCAGUUGAGUACUUAGGGACUUGAGUAUGGUAGGGGUAGAGGGAAUUCCUUGGAGCGGUGAAAUGCACAGAGAUUAGGAAGAACACCAGUGGCGAAAGCGCUCUACUGGGCCAUUACUGACACUGAGAGAUGAAAGUCGGGGGAGCGAAAAAGAUUAGAUACCCUUGUAGUCCCGACCGUAAACGAUGGAUACUAAGUGCUGUCAAAAACAGUGCUGUAGCUAACGCGUUAAGUAUCCCGCCUGGGGAGUAUGCUCGCAAGAGUGAAACUCAAAUGAAUUGACGGGG